rnacentral:tRNA from 1 species
GGUCGUUGGGGAAUUAGCUCAAAUGGUAGAGCGCCCGCUUAGCAUGCGGGAGGUUCCGGGAUCGAUGCCCGGACAUCGAUCC